rnacentral:rRNA from 1 species
UACGUAGGGUGCGAGCGUUAAUCGGAAUUACUGGGCGUAAAGCGUGCGCAGGCGGUUCGUUAAGUUCGUUGUGAAAGCCCCGGGCUCAACCUGGGAACUGCAAUGGAAACUGGCGGGCUUGAGUGUGGCAGAGGGGGGUGGAAUUCCAGGUGUAGCGGUGAAAUGCGUAGAUAUCUGGAGGAACACCGGUGGCGAAGGCGGCAUCCUGGACCGAUACUGACGCUGAGGAGCGAAAGCCAGGGGAGCAAACGGG